UACAGAGGGUGCAAGCGUUAAUCGGAAUUACUGGGCGUAAAGCGUGCGCAGGCGGUGAUGUAAGACAGGUGUGAAAUCCCCGGGCUUAACCUGGGAACUGCAUUUGUGACUGCAUCGCUGGAGUGCGGCAGAGGGGGAUGGAAUUCCGCAUGUAGCAGUGAAAUGCGUAGAUAUGCGGAGGAACACCAAUGGCGAAAGGCAAUCCCCUGGGCCUGCACUGACGCUCAUGCACGAAAGCGUGGGGAGCAAACAGG
rnacentral:rRNA from 1 species